CAGGGGUUAGUCCAACAAAAUAUACCAGUGUCUACAUAAGCAAUUUUUAGUUCAAUAAAAAAAUUAGACUCCAUGUCUAAUCAGAUUAAGGAAGGCUAUUUAAUCUAAGCACCAUGCUUAAUUUAGAUGCCAAUGGAAGUAUGUCGAGUACUUCCAAACCAACACUUACUUAUGAAUAGACAAAGGUAGCAUGACAACAUUAUAGAGAUCUACUCAAGUGGGGACGAAGUAGAAUGAUUAGUGUUUAAUAAAUUGAGCAUGUCUUAAGGGUAGGGACAACCAACAUAGCAACAUGGCAAAGGAUGUUUUUUUGUGUAAGGUAUUCCCCCAGCUUGAACAAGUCAAGUUUGGAUGAAUUUAAUUCAAUGUUGCAUGAUGAUUGGUUGGACAUACCUUGUUGUUAUUCUUCACUCUUUUACUUCAAGCCUGAAUCGCGAAGAUAACGGGAUUGCUUUCCCCGAGCUGAAUGUUGACAUAAUCUUUAAUCUUGAAUCCGCACAACACAGAUGUUCUUCAAUAUUCUUGAGCUUCAAAAUGUCAGUGAUUGCAGCGCUUCCAAGUUGGUGAAGAUAUCUUGAUCAUUGGGGAUUCUCUCUUUAAAUCAUGUUAAACUCAAAUAGACAACAAAACUUGUGGCACCGAUUAAACAUUAGUAGAUGGCCACUUAAGCCUUAGUUGUCCAAGCUUUUUAGAUUUUUCUUAAUUCUUUUUCUAAGCAGAGUUUCAACAAGAUCUCUUUCUUAAUAUAUAUAUAUAUUGGGUUUUAAUCUUUUUAUGAAGCUAAAGGAAAUGGAAUAGGAUGAAUGCAUGUUUAUUUACUUUUAUUUAUUUUUUUUAUUCCACCACGGUGAGUAUCCGUGUGGGCUUUUACACACCACACAAUUUAUUCACACGGGGUUUUAGUAUUUAAGACGCAAUGAGUUAUAUAAAAUAUUUUUAUUAUAUUUUCUAAUGCAAUAAUAAUGUAGAAAGAUAAAUAUGUUAUGG
rnacentral:lncRNA from 1 species